UAUGACGUGAGAGGAUGAACAAGAUAAAAUAAUCUCGGAUCUAAUCUAUCUACGGAUGAUGCGGAUACACACGUUUCGAGAUGAUGCUUUAACAGUUGAAAUUUAGAUUUAGAUGGAAAUAGAUUAGAUUUGUAUUCAACGACUCAAUUAAAAAUCUACGAAUUUACCACGCAGUUGAAAUGGUCGAAAAUUUUGAAUUUGGAUGUGAUCGUUCCUUAUUAGAGAAUAAUAUGAUAUUUAUCUAAUAUAUUUUUAUAUAUAUUUAACAUAUUUGAUA